rnacentral:snRNA from 10 species
GGAUGUGAGGGCAAUCUGGCUGCGACAUCUGGCACCCCAUUGAUCACAGGGUUGAUUCUGCUCAUCUGGCUGGCUAGGUGGGUGUCCGCUUCCUCCCUCACCGCUCCAUGUGCGUCCCUCCCGAAGCUGCCCUCUUGGUUGAAGAUGACGACCAUCCCCCAUAGAGGAGGACCGGUCUUCGGUCAAGGGUAUACGAGUAGCUGUACUGCCCUGCCAGAACCUCCAAAACAAGCUCUCAAGGUCCAAAAUGCUGGGAUUACAGGCAUGAGCCACCGUGCCCGGCCAAAAUUAACUUCAUUUUU